GCAUUGGUCUUUUUGUGAUGCGACUUCAACGAGUCCGGUUGUUUGGGAAUGCAGCCUUAAUUGGGUGGUAAAUCUCACCUAAAGCUAAAUAUUGGCGAGAGACCAAUAGCGAACAAGUACCGUGAGGGAAAGAUGAAAAGUACUCUGAAGAGAGAGUUAAAAGUGACGUGAAAUUGCUAAAAGCGAAACCGUUUGGAGCCAAGUCGGGUAAAAACCCUAGGCAAGGGUUGUAGGCCAUGAAAGUGGUUUACAACUUGAACCCUUUAACUUUGGUUAUUGGGGGGGCCCGUCGAAGGAUAGGUUACCUUCCAACAACAGUUUGUUCUGCAGGAAAAAGGUGCCAUUUCGAUAGAGAAUGUAGCUUAUCCGGAAAGUGUUAUAGCUCUUCACUGUACUGUGGUUCAGACUGAGGUCUGCAGCGAAUGCUUGAUUUUGGCUUUGGGAUUAGAUCGCUCAGUGCUUUUGCUGUGGUCACUAUGAUAUGGUGUGCUGCAAGUGAGGUCUGACUCGGUCUAUUUCACUUUUAAUUCGCUUUGGUUGUUGGCUUAAUGGCUUUAAACGACCCGUCUUGAGACACGGACCAAGGAGUCCACCAUAGGUGCGAGUAUUUGGGUGCCAAACCCAUAUGCGCAAUGAAAGUGAUGUUGGGUAUGAAUCCUUUUUUUGGAGAGGCAAUGCUGUCCGGCGUAGACGUUUUUAUACAGACAUACCUGAGACAAAGCACUUAUGAUGGGACCCGAAAGAUGGUGAACUAUGCCUGAAUAGGGCGAAGCCCACAGUUUAACUUGGGUGGAGGCCCGUAGCGAUUCUGACGUGCAAAUCGAUCGUCAAAUUUGGGUAUAACGGCGAAAGACUAAUCGAACCAUCUCAUAGCUGGUUCCUGCCGAAGUUUCCCUCAGGAUAGCAGAAACUCAAACAGGCAGUUUUAUGGGGUAUAGCACAGGAGCAGAACUAGUUGCAAACCAAACGGAUUGUAGCCUGCGUCCUUAGCUUGGAAUAUGUAAGAUGACCCGCUUCUUUCUCAAGUGAAGACGGUCUCGAAUGCCGAGUUUCUAGUGGGCCAUUUUUGGUAAACAGAAAUGGCGAUGCGGGAUGAACCGAACGCAGAGUUAAGGUGCCGGAAUAUACGCUCAUAGAUACCACGAAAGGCGUUAGUUCGUCUAGACAGUAGGACGGUAGCCAUGGAAGUCGGAAACCGCUAAGGAGUGUGUAGCAACUCACCUGCCGAAUGGACUAGCCCUGAAAAUGGAUGGCGCUGAAGCGUAUUGCCCAUACUCUGCCAUCAUGGUAAAAAGUGAUGCCAUGAUGAGUAGGCAGGCGUGGAGGUUUAUGCAAAUUGUUAAGAAGCCGCAGGUGUGAACCUGGGUGAAACAGCCUCUAGUGCAGAUCUUGGUGGUAGUAGCAAAUAUUCAAAUGGGAACUUUGAAGACUGAAGUGGAGAAAGGUUCCUAAGCAACUGCAUUUGGCUUAGCGUUAGUCGAUCCUAAGAGAUAGGGAAGUUCCCUUUUACCAAAUAGCCAAUUUUGUUUUGGCUUACCUAUCGAAGGGGAAACUGGUUAACAUUCCAGUACCUGAAUGCGGAUUUUCUGCCGCAACGCAACUGAAUUUGGGGACAUCGGCACGGAUCCUGUGAAGAGUUUUCUUUUCUUUUUAACAGUUGUGUUUUGACCAUGAAAUCAGUUUAGCUGGAGAAAUGGUUGAACGGCUGGAAGAGUACCAUCCGAACUGGUUGUAUCCGGUGCAUCCGUGACGAUCCUUGAAAACCCAAAGGAAAGAAUAAUUUUCGCCUCAGGUCGCACUCAUAACCGCAGCAGGUCUCCAAGGUGAAAAGCCUCUAGUUGAUGGAACAAGGUAGAUAAGGGAAGUAAGCAAAUUCGAUCUGUAACUUCGGAAGAAAAAUUGGCUGUAAUGGUUGGAGCAAGUCUUGCGACUUGGGGAGAACCGAGGGAAAAGAAGGUAUGUAUUCUUAUUGCGUAGACCACCGUCUGGUGGGGUCUAUGAAUCAGUUGGCUUGGAACUCGACUCCCUGAAGAAACUGGGCUUGCUGCUUAUCAACAACCGAAUUAGAACUGGUACUGACAAGGGGAAUCCGACUGUUUAAUGAAAACAUAGCAUUGCGAUAUCCAGAAAGUGGUAUUGACGCAAUGUGAUUUCUGCCCAGUGCUCUGAACGUCAAAGUGAAGAAAUUCAAUCAAGCGCGAGUAAACGGCGGGAGUAACUAUGACUCUCUUAAGGUAGCCAAAGGGGCAUCAUCUUGGCCAUUUGGUGUACUUUGGAUUAACGAGAUUCCUACUGUCCCUAUCUACUAUCCAGCGAAACCACAGCCAAGGGAACGGGCUUGGCGUAAUCAGCGGGGAAAGAAGACCCUGUUGAGCUUGACUCUAGUUUGACACUGCAGUACAGCGUAGGGAAUGUAGAAUAAGUGGGAGCCUAGGGUGCCUCGAGGGGUGUCCGCGAUCGUGAAAUACCACUGCUUCUAUUGCAUUACUGCUCGGAUAAUCAGGUAGGGCCCGAACUGAGCUUUUGAUUUGCUCAGCUUCUUGUGUUGAAGUGCACAUUCGUUGUACGACCUAUGUUAUCGACACUGUCAGAUGGGGAGUUUUGGCUGGGACGGCUCUCCUGUGAAACAGCCAAACAGGUGACCUAAGGGAGACUCAGGCGUGGACAGGAACCUCGCGUAGAGCUGAAGGGUAAAUGUCUCCUUGAUUUUUAUUUUCAGUGUGAAUACAAACCAUGAGAGUGUGGCCUAUCGAUCCUUUAGACUCCAAAAGAUUUUUGGAUAGAGGUGUCAGAAAAGUUACCACAGGGAUAAUAACUGGCUUGUGGCAGCCUAGCAGAUUUUUCAGCGAAGUUGCUUUUUCUGUUGUUGUUCUUGAUGUCGGCUCUUCCUAUCAUACCGAAGCAGCACUCGGUAAGCGUUGGAUUGUUCACCCACUAACAGGGAACGUGAGCUGGAUUUAGACCAUCGUGAGACAGGUUAGUAUUACCCUACUGAUGGUACGCAGUAUCGCAACAGUAAUUGAAGUCAGUACGAGAGGAACCCUUUAUUCAGAUAAUUGGUAUUUGCGGUUGGUCGACCGGCCAACGCCGCGAAGCUAUCAUCUGCUGGAUAAUGGCUGAACGCCUCUAAGCCAGAAUCCAAGCUGGAAGCGAUGCUGGCUUGUUACGCUUUUUGUACGAGAAGGUACAAAUAGGUCUUUUGACCGUAAACCGUAUUUUUGGGCUUGUGGCAGUAUUGCGGAAAGGCAAUACGGUGACAGCCUUAUGAUAAUGUUACUACAAAAGUGGGACAAAUC
rnacentral:rRNA from 1 species